rnacentral:lncRNA from 1 species
CCAGUUUGCCCUGGGGCAUCUGUGGUCAUCUUCUGGGCAGUGACCUGUUUGGAGGGUGGAGAAGGAAAAUUCCAUGAUGUCAUGGGAACAGGGUGCUGCUUUCCACCACGCUGCGUUCUCUUGAGAAGGUGAACAUGGCUGAAGUGUCUAGCUCUUGGGUUUGAAUGUUUUCUUUUUCUCCUGGGAGAACUUUUCAUGGCAUCAGCAGCUACUUUCAGAAUUAAUUGCUAAAACAAGAGGAGAUCAAAUCUCUGUUGAGCAGUUCACAAGCCAGGGAAACUGCCAGAAGAGUAGAAUCAGAAGGUGACAUUUUAUCUUGGCACAUGGAAGAAAUAACAGAGAAGAGAUGGUGGUAAUGGUUGUCUUUUUUGGCAUUUGAAGAAAAAAUUUGCUUUGUCCAGGGUAGGAGGGGAGUAAGUAUCCCUCUCCGGGUGCGACUGUCCUGGCACAGGAGACUCAUCGACUUAAGUUUCUCUGUUUUAAUGACACAUGGAAAGUUCAUGUCUAAGAAGAAGGUUGAACUUGAUGAACUCGAGGCCCACAUUCAACUCUCAAAAUUCUACUUGUCCAUAAGGUGACUUUUAGGCCAAUAGUUACACAUUUAAAGAGAAAAAGCCGUUCCAGCGUUUCUGUCGUGGAUGGGUGUGGAUCAAGUCGCCACAAAAAGGCAGGGAAGAGG